GGAGGAGGUGGAAGCCUGAAGUAUCACAUACAGACCUCCUGUAAAAAGAUGAGUCCUAGAAAAGAGAGGAACAGGAGCUCAGUCCUUCAAGGGAACCCUCUGCAAGAGAGGGUCUGAGCAGUUAUUAUAGCUGGACUUGUGAACUGGCUCACUCUACACAUAUCCUUCCAUUGCGAAAGGCUUCUUAAACUGCUCUUCAGAAAAUACCAGACAAAUGAGCUGAUAAAGCAACCUAGCUGAUGCAUCAAUGAAGGCCAUUUCAUUGCUGGUCACAAUGAGCCAACCACUCAGCCUAAGGGAGAGCUUGGCCUCUGGAUCAGUGAAAGCCAACUAGGUGAGAACUUUCUUCAGAUCUUGUGUUUCUGAGGCUGUAGAGGUGAGGUCAAAUCUGUCCUGUCUCCUGGUAAAGAUUUCUUAAUAAGUGAAUAACUUAAUAACUGAAUUCCUAACAGCCGAGC